rnacentral:rRNA from 1 species
AACGAACGCUGGCGGCAGACCUAACACAUGCAAGUCGAGCGAGGACUUCGGUCCUAGCGGCGGACGGGUGAGUAACGCGUGGGAACGUGCCCUUUGCUUCGGAAUAGCCCUGGGAAACUGGGAGUAAUACCGGAUGAGCCCUUUGGGGGAAAGAUUUAUCGGCGAAGGAUCGGCCCGCGUUGGAUUAGGUAGUUGGUGGGGUAAUGGCCUACCAAGCCGACGAUCCAUAGCUGGUUUGAGAGGAUGAUCAGCCACACUGGGACUGAGACACGGCCCAGACUCCUACGGGAGGCAGCAGUGGGGAAUCUUAGACAAUGGGGGAAACCCUGAUCUAGCCAUGCCGCGUGAGCGAUGAAGGCCUUAGGGUUGUAAAGCUCUUUCAGCUGGGAAGAUAAUGACGGUACCAGCAGAAGAAGCCCCGGCUAACUCCGUG